ACUCCUACGGGAGGCAGCAGUGAGGAAUAUUGGUCAAUGGAGGGAACUCUGAACCAGCCAUCCCGCGUGUAGGAAGACGGCCUUAUGGGUUGUAAACUACUUUUAUACAGGAAGAAACGUACCCUCGUGAGGGUGCCUGACGGUACCUGUAGGAAUAAGCACCGGCUAACUCCGUGCCAGCAGCCGCGGUAAUACGGAGGGUGCGAGCGUUAUCCGGAUUUAUUGGGUUUAAAGGGUCCGUAGGCGGAUUAAUAAGUCAGUGGUGAAAUCCCAUCGCUUAACGAUGGAACUGCCAUUGAUACUGUUAGUCUUGAAUGAGGGUGCAGUGGUUGGAAUGUGUAGUGUAGCGGUGAAAUGCAUAGAUAUUACACAGAACACCGAUUGCGAAGGCAGAUCACUAACCCUAAAUUGACGCUGAGGGACGAAAGCGUGGGGAGCGAACAGGAUUAGAUACCCUGGUAGCACAGAG
rnacentral:rRNA from 1 species